rnacentral:rRNA from 1 species
UUCCGGUUGAUCCCGCCAGACCUGACUGCUAUCGGAUUGAUACUAAGCCAUGCGAGUCGUUGUAGCAAUACAAGGCAUACGGCUCAGUAACGCGUAGUCAACCUAACCUAUGGACGGGAAUAACCUCGGGAAACUGAGAAUAAUGCCCGAUAGAACAUUAUGCCUGGAAUGGUUUAUGUUCCAAAUGAUUUAUCGCCAUAGGAUGGGACUGCGGCCUAUCAGUUUGUUGGUGAGGUAAUGGCCCACCAAGACUAUUACAGGUACGGGCUCUGAGAGGAGUAGCCCGGAGAUGGGUACUGAGACACGGACCCAGGCCCUAUGGGGCGCAGCAGGCGAGAAAACUUUGCAAUGUGCGAAAGCACGACAAGGUUAAUCCGAGUGAUUUCUGCUAAAGAGAUCUUUUGUUAGUCCUAGAAACACUAACGAAUAAGGGGUGGGCAAGUUCUGGUGUCAGCCGCCGCGGUAAAACCAGCACCUCAAGUGGUCAGGAUGAUUAUUGGGCCUAAAGCAUCCGUAGCCGGCUCUGUAAGUUUUCGGUUAAAUCUGUACGCUCAACGUACAGGCUGCCGGAAAUACUGCAGAACUAGGGAGUGGGAGAGGUAGACGGUACUCGGUAGGAAGUGGUAAAAUGCUUUGAUCUAUCGAUGACCACCUGUGGCGAAGGCGGUCUACCAGAACACGUCCGACGGUGAGGGAUGAAAGCUGGGGGAGCAAACCGGAUUAGAUACCCGGGUAGUCCCAGCUGUAAACUAUGCAAACUCAGUGAUGCAUUGGCUUGUGGCCAAUGCAGUGCUGCAGGGAAGCCGUUAAGUUUGCCGCCUGGGAAGUACGUACGCAAGUAUGAAACUUAAAGGAAUUGGCGGGGGAGCACCACAAGGGGUGAAGCCUGCGGUUC